GUGUCAGCCGCCGCGGUAAAACGUAGGACGCAAGCGUUAUCCGGAAUUACUGGGCGUAAAGGGCGUGCAGGCGGUCUUUUAAGUUAGGCGUGAAAGCUCCCGGCUAAACCGGGAGAGGUCGUCUGAUACUGGGAGACUAGAGUAUGGUAGAGGCGUGUAGAAUUCCGCGUGUAGUGGUGAAAUGCGUAGAGAUGCGGAGGAAUACCAGUGGCGAAGGCGGCACGCUGGGCCAUAACUGACGCUAAGACGCGAAAGCAUGGGUAGCGAACGGGAUUAGAAACCCCGGUAGUCCAUGCCGUAAACGAUGUACACUGGGUGUUUGGGUCGGUACGCCGGUCUGAGUGCCUAAGCCAACGCGCUAAGUGUACCGCCUGGGGAGUACGGUCGCAAGGCUAAA
rnacentral:rRNA from 1 species